rnacentral:rRNA from 1 species
UGAGGAAUAUUGGUCAAUGGGCGAGAGCCUGAACCAGCCAAGUAGCGUGAAGGAUGACUGCCCUAUGGGUUGUAAACUUCUUUUAUAAAGGAAUAAAGUCGGGUAUGGAUACCCGUUUGCAUGUACUUUAUGAAUAAGGAUCGGCUAAC